rnacentral:rRNA from 1 species
CCUGGCUCAGGACGAACGCUGGCGGCGGGCCUAAUACAUGCAAGGAGAACGCUGAAGAGAGGAGCUUGCUCUUCUUGGAUGAGUUGCGAACGGUUGAGUAACGCGUAGGUAACCUGCCUGUUAGCGGGGGAUAACUAUUGGAAACGAUAGCUAAUACCGCAUGAUAUUAAUUAUCGCAUGAUAAUUAAUUGAAAGAUGCAAUUGCAUCACUACCAGAUGGACCUGCGUUGUAUUAGCUAGUUGGUGAGGUAACGGCUCACCAAGGCGACGAUACAUUGCCGACCUGAGAGGGUGAUCGGCCACCCUGGGACUGAGACACGGCCCAGACUCCUACGG